UACGUAGGGGGCUAGCGUUGUCCGGAAUCAUUGGGCGUAAAGAGCGUGUAGGCGGUCCGGUAAGUCCGCUGUGAAAGUCGGGGGCUCAACCCUCGAAUGCCGGUGGAUACUGUCGGGCUAGAGUGCGGAAGAGGCGAGUGGAAUUCCUGGUGUAGCGGUGAAAUGCGCAGAUAUCAGGAGGAACACCUAUUGCGAAGGCAGCCCCCUGGGUCAAAACUGACGCUCAUGCACGAAAGCGUGGGGAGCAAACAGG
rnacentral:rRNA from 1 species